AUUUUCCUGAGGCAUAACAGUUCAAAGAUGUAACUUUUUAGGGGAGAUCAAAAUUAAAAAAAUUUGUCAUCAUCGUGUAUGUGACAAUAUUAUAAAACAAGCUUGCUCCCUCAACGUCCCGGUACUCGAGAGUUAACGGAUUUUAGAGCAUCAGUCGCUGGUUUCUUGGCAGAAGAGUCCAUAGCAGGAGUAUUCAGCGCACUUCGAUUGAGUCCGAUAUGGGAUUUAACUAAAUGGCCACUAGCAAGUGCGGAACACAAAGACAGUUCACCAGCCAUUACGGCGGCUGCAACGACACGUGCUAGUUGACGAGAAUUAUCACCGGGAGAGGUCAUAUGGGCACCUCGCACACCGAGCAAGUCAAGCAUAGCACCUUGCGGUUCCAAAACCGUUCCACCACCAAUUGUUCCAACUUCAAUGGAUGGCAUUGACACGCUAAGCUGAAGGUUACCAUCAACAUUAUCCAUCAAAGUUAUACAAUUACUGCUUUCAACAUUUUGGGCAGGGUCUUGACCAGUUGCUAAAUAUACUGCCGUGACAAUGUUAGCAGCAUGAGCAUUAAAUCCUCCAACGCUGCCAGCCAUAGCACUACCAAUGAGGUUUUUGUCAACAUUUAAUUUAACCAAAUCUUCAACAGUAGUUUUCAAUACCGAUUUGACAGCAUCACCAGGAAUAAUAGCUUCAGCAAUAACACUUUUACCACGACCAUCAAUCCAAUUAAUAGCAGCAGGCUUCUUAUCUGUACAAUAAUUCCCUGAUACACUGAUCACUUGCAUGUCAUCAAAACCAGCGUCAUUGCUCAUUACUACAAGUGCAUGCUCAACACCUUUGGAAAUCAUAUUCAUACCCAUAGCAUCACCGGUAGACGUACAGAAACGGAUGAAAAGACGAGUACCAGCUAGAGCAGUCUUAAUAUGUUGAAGUCUAGCAAAACGGCUAGUAGAGUUAAAAGCCUUCUUCAUAACCUCUUGGCCUUCAGGGCUAUCCAACCAAAUUUUAGCACGACCAGCGCGCGUCAAAUUCGGGAAAGCCACACAUGGUCCACGGGACAUUUGAUCACGAGUCAAUACAGUAACAGCACCACCACCAGCGUUAAUAGCUUUGCAUCCACGCAUAGUAGAAGCAACCAAUGCACCCUCAGUAGUAGCCAUAGGGAUAUAAAAAGGCUUACCGUCAAUAAUGAGAGGACCAGCUACACCAAGGGGCAAGGGCAUGUAACCUAUAACGUUUUCACAACAUGCAUUCAAAACCCUAGAGUAAUCGUAAUGAUAGACGGGGCAAUUAGAGCUUUCAAGUGUCUUCGUCCUAGAUGAACGGGAGACGACCGUUCGGCGAAUUACAACAGCUCUGGUAACGUCUUUAAGUACUCGUUCUAAAGCAUAAAGAGGGAUUUUUUUAGCUAAGGUUAACUGCACAACUUCUUCAUCAUUUAAAGUUGAAAUUUGACCAUUGUUGUAAAGAGUGAUACAUUCCUCAAGCGAACGUACAACGGAUUCUUGAGCGAUUUCGUCUUUCUGAAUGUCAUCAAUGGAUGAACUAUUCGACGAAGGAAUAUACUUAACGACUUCAACAACUUUUUCAACCACCUUUUUCUCAGGUUCCUCUUUGAUGGAGUUCAAUCGAGCAGCGUUCAAAAGAAAAACGUUGACGGCAAUACUCAAAGAUAAAGCACAGACGAUCCAUUUUGACAAAAACGAAGCACUGAUGUAGUGAGACCAGUUGUUAAUAAACGAAUGGAUAGUAGAUAGAAAAGAAGUGCUGGAUAAUUCGGCACCGUAAAAAACAGCUGGUAGUAAACGGACGCUUGGUGAUUCAAUGUUGGACAUUGAAGAAAUAGCAGAAAGAACGUCGUCAAACACUCCAUCAUCCAAAAGCCUUUGUGACUUAAAAUCGGGAUAUUGAGAGCGAACAAGAGGAAUUAAUCGAGCAGCAGCAGCAGAAGUGGCAGCAUAAUGUUUGAACGGAAUAGAACAAAGUUCAAACAAAUUGAAGGCAAUGAAUAUGAAAAGAAUGAUUUUGGUUCCAUAUCUAACUUUAAAAUACCGUGACCCUGCAGAAGUAGUAGCCGAAGAAUCGUUGCCGUCUGCAACAUGACGAGCCGUAGACUCAGAGAGACCCUCUUCUAUAAGAACCUUUCGAACAUCAUCCUUAGCAUUAUAGCGGCGCAUCUCAAGUUUCAGGGUGAGUAUGGCGACAAAGAAAGAGAACAGUAAGAGUAAAUCAUAAAUCAUGACAGCAGCAAACAAAAAGAAUUGUUUGAUACCAAAAUUACAAUACGAAAAAAUUGCCAAAACGACUAUUCCAAAAGAAAAAUGACGGAGGAUAGGCGGUGCAGCGUUGCGGCAAGCCUUUGCAAUAUCUUCAUGCAUAGGAGAAUGGGAGUCAGAGACAGAGCAUCGAGUGAUAACUUGCCGCGUUAAUUCUGCAGCUUUAUCAAGGGCAACCACAUUUAUCAGAAAAGGCAAACUUUCAAUCAACGAGACAAGGCUAAUCCGUACACCAGAUGCACGUACCAAAGUCAUUGCGAAUUGAACAGAGAACAAAGUGGAAAGCAGGACACUAAAAAAUAGCCAAAAUUUGGAUCCUAGACGACGCAUCUUAAGGUAAAGAGACACAAUGGAUAUCAACAUGCAAGCAUAAGCAGUACCAACAAUUAACAGUUCGGUCUUAGAAGCUUGGCUAGCGAUCUUUAAAGUAUUCAUCCAAGUGCGAGCGAUCAACUGAAGUAACCACGACCAUGAAAUGCCGUGUUCACGAAUUGCAGGAAGAAUUCUUUGAAUGACAGUACUAGAACUGUCAAGGAAGUAAUCGAUGGGCGGAUUGGCGAGAUUCGAUGGUAAUGCAAUACUAGAUACAGUCCAAUUGCCGACCUCUUUAAAAAAGAAAUGGCAAGCACCGGAAGCGUCAUGGAAAAUGCAGUCAUUACGAUAUGGCUCUACCAAUUGAGCAACAUCGACCUUUGCAUUCGCAGGGUAAUACCAUUGGGUGAUAUCAAAAUCAACAAAUCCUUCUCCACCCAACUCUGCGGCAGGAAUUUGUUCCCAAACCGAGGCAUCCUCACCUUGGACACUACUUAGCUUUAAAAUCAUCUCGUUAGGUAGACGAGUGUUCGGAAAUCCAUCCAAAAUACCAAAUCGUUUUAAAGCACGAAUUAAUACUGGGAAAUCUUCUUGAGUUAAGGCUUCCAAGAAGGAAAAAUAUGCCAUAGAGACAAGGAUGCCCACAAUGGCAAUCACUUGAAUUGGAUACCGAGCAGCAAGUUUAUAAAUCAUGUUAACUGAAAAACUUAUGACAAAAAGCUAACAGUUCUCCUUUUCUUUUGCGACAAUUAAAAAAUCAAGGACAAGCGCACACGGUUGAUGAAUACGUACAAACACGUAACGCAAACACUUUAACUUAUUGAAACCGAAGAGCAGACAACUGUAGCAAUUAAAUGAAGAUUAUAAAUUAUUCGUUG
rnacentral:lncRNA from 1 species